UACGUAGGGGGCUAGCGUUAUCCGGAAUCAUUGGGCGUAAAGAGCGUGUAGGCGGCCCGGUAAGUCCGCUGUGAAAGUCCAGGCUCAACCCUGGGAUGCCGGUGGAUACUGUCGGGCUCGAGUCCGGAAGAGGCGAGUGGAAUUCCUGGUGUAGCGGUGAAAUGCGCAGAUAUCAGGAGGAACACCAAUGGCGAAGGCAGCUCGCUGGGACGUGGACUGACGCUGAGACGCGAAAGCGUGGGGAGCAA
rnacentral:rRNA from 1 species